rnacentral:rRNA from 2 species
AAAGAAACCAACAGGGAUUGCCUCAGUAACGGCGAGUGAAGCGGCAAGAGCUCAAAUUUGAAAGCUGGGCCUUUCAGGUCCCGCAUUGUAAUUUGCAGAGGAUGCUUCGGGAGUGGCCCCUAUCUAAGUGCUCUGGAACGGGCCGUCAUAGAGGGUGAGAAUCCCGUAUGGGAUAGGGUGUCCACGCCCGUGUGAAGCUCCUUCGACGAGUCGAGUUGUUUGGGAAUGCAGCUCUAAAUGGGUGGUAAAUUUCAUCUAAAGCUAAAUAUUGACCGGAGACCGAUAGCGCACAAGUAGAGUGAUCGAAAGAUGAAAAGCACUUUGAAAAGAGAGUUAAAAAGCACGUGAAAUUGUUGAAAGGGAAGCGCUUGCGACCAGACUCGCCUCUAGGGUUCAGCGUGCAUUCGUGCACGUGUACUUCCCUUGGGGCGGGCCAGCGUCGGUUUGGGCGGUCGGUAAAAGGCUCUCGGAAUGUAACGCCUCUCGGGGCGUCUUAUAGCCGGGGGUGCCAUGCGACCAGCUCAGACCGAGGAACGCGCUUCGGCUCGGACGCUGGCAUAAUGGUCGUAAACGAC